UUUGUCCAUAAGACAUGUGAAAGCAUACGCAUGCAGCCAAAACUACAUACAGUUUCUGUAACAUUUUUGGAUGAAGUAUUAAAAUUUCACCGACUAGACCUGAAAAUGAGAUAUAUAUGAAUUCGGACAACUUUCUCAUUUUACAGCCUUUAUAUGCGUCUGAAAUGGGGCUAUUAAUUUUGUGAACACUAGAUUCUGAACAACAAUAGCUUUGAAAUAGUAGUUAUUAAUAGGUACUGAAUUGGCAGUUGGUUUUUGAUGAUAAAGUGUGUUAAAAUGACUACUAAAUGCGGCUUAUUAUUUGAAAAGAGUAUCUGACUUUCCCCAUUUCAACAUUUUAUAUUUCAAAAAUAUAUUACAACAGAAUCAGAAGAUUGAUGAAAAAUAAAAAGAAUGUGUUCUGGUAUAAAAAUUUAAUGGGCUCGAAAAUGAUUUUUCGAAAGUGUCUCCACACAUGCUACUGGAACUGUUGACAAGAUAUUUAAUUUUAUAUAUAACAAGACAUGUCUAUACGACUAACUGCAUGCCAUCGAUUGAUAUAUGAAUAAAUUGCCAAGGAUUGCACUAUAGAUUAGGUAAAAAUGCUAAAUUCACCCCAAAGGUUAAUAUUUCGUAACUAUUGUACGCCAAUGCCAUGCGUGACGUUCUCUGGGAUAUCACUUUCAUUAGAGAUUAGGCGAGAAAAUUUUGGGAAGAGACCUCCUGCUGUUCAUUGCAUUGAUUAUUAAUCAAAUAUUCCUCAGGAAAAGCGCCGGUGUCUUGGCCAAUGGGUAGCACGUCUUCCCCGUGAUCUGGGCGUCCGAGUGUUCGAGUCCUGGUUCUGGCAUGGUUGUUCAUUACCCUGUGUUCUAUCUGUGAAGUGUGUGAAAGAGUCCCCACCCCUCUAAAAAGGGGUUGUGCAAAAAUCUCAAAGACCAACGCACUUCGAGUACCCGAAAUUCUGCAUAACGCUUUCUCCAACGCUCUCAGUGUGGUAAUAGAUCCCCGUUCCAAAAGGUCCCUUUAUGAUUCCAUAUACGCAUCAGCAAGGUCUUCUGACAAGACGUCUCCCAUUAAAGUCGCCGAUAUUAUCUCUCAAAUAAUCGAUCACCAUUUCGAUUUCUUAGAGUCUCCAACAAAGAUAAAAGUCUUCGCCAAUUCCAUCGCCAAGCAUCUUCAAUCUGAAGGUCUGCUUGAUCCAACCGAAGCUGUUUCUUUUGGUUUAGCACUCGCCAACAGCUUGGGAGAGGCCGUGGGAAACAGCUUAAUGGAAGGUGAUAUGGAGUAAAAACUGAAAUUAUUAACGGACGGAUAUGUGAAGUUCUUGGCAUCAUUAAGUUCUACAAUGGCCGAUAAAGCAGUUAGAUAGCAUCACAGCGAAGCAGGGUAGAAAAUUCAAUUUCUAGAAGCUUAAAAUAUUUGAAAUUGCACCUGUAAGAAAUAUUUUUAUCUAUUUCAU